AUGGAGGGAGUGGAGAAGAUGCUGAAGAAGAUGACCUUGUCUGCCACAGAGAGAAAGGGGGUUAGAUUCGGAAAGAAAGGAGGAUUGGGGGCGGAGGCGGACCCCCAGGCGAUUGGCAAGCUGCUGUCGGACAAACCGGCCUCGGCUGACAUUCUAGCGAACACAUUAGGCAGGGUGUGGUGUCCGAUUAAGGGACUACUCGGCAAGGACCUGGGAAAGAACAGAUUCCUCUUCACCUUUAGGCAACCAUCAAGAGUUCGGAAGGCGAUGUAUGAAGGGCCGUGGAUGUUUAACAAUGAGCUGAUAAUAAUGCGAGAAAUAGACCCAAGGAGGACACUGGACGAGAUGGAGUUCAAAGUGGUUCCUUUCUGGAUACGGAUCCAUAACCUGCCGAUGGGAAAAAUGAAUGUAGAAUCAGGGAGGCUGAUAGGGGACGAGAUUGGCGAAGCUCUAGUGGUGGAUGUGGAAGAGGAUGGUACUGCCUAUGGCCAAUUCCUUCGAGUUAAAGUCUGCAUAGAUAUUACAAAACCACUCAUGAGGGGAAUUCUAAUAGAGGAGGAGGAGGUGCAGGAAGGAACUGAGUACGUGGAGAUAGAGGAAGACGAUGACAGUGGAAUGAAAAUAAUUAGGAUGUUUCGAUGGUGUCCCUUUCAGUAUGAAUUUUUACCAGAUUUAUGCUAUGCUUGUGGGAUUAUUGGCCAUGUAGAGAAAAGUUAUCUCUAUUCCUAA
rnacentral:rRNA from 1 species